rnacentral:rRNA from 1 species
AACGAACGCUGGCGGCAGGCUUAACACAUGCAAGUCGAGCGCCCCGCAAGGGGAGCGGCAGACGGGUGAGUAACGCGUGGGAAUCUACCGAGCCCUACGGAAUAGCUCCGGGAAACUGGAAUUAAUACCGUAUACGCCCUACGGGGGAAAGAUUUAUCGGGGUUUGAUGAGCCCGCGUUGGAUUAGCUAGUUGGUGGGGUAAAGGCCUACCAAGGCGACGAUCCAUAGCUGGUCUGAGAGGAUGAUCAGCCACAUUGGGACUGAGACACGGCCCAAACUCCUACGGGAGGCAGCAGUGGGGAAUAUUGGACAAUGGGCGCAAGCCUGAUCCAGCCAUGCCGCGUGAGUGAUGAAGGUCUUAGGAUUGUAAAGCUCUUUCACCGGUGAAGAUAAUGACGGUAACCGGAGAAGAAGCCCCGGCUAACUUCGUGCCAGCAGCCGCCGCGG